rnacentral:tRNA from 1 species
GAGAUUGAAGUUUUUAUAAUAUUUCAGUUACAUUGAAAAGAACUCUAAUUGAGCGGUCUCU